rnacentral:misc_RNA from 1 species
AACGCAAGUUGCGCCCCAAGCCUUCUGGCCGAGGGCACGUCUGCCUGGGUGUCACAAAUCGUCGUCCCCCCAUCCUCUCGAGGAUAUGGGACAGAAGCUGAUCUCCCGUGUGUUACCGCACGCGGUUGGCCAAAAUCCGAGCUAAGGACGUCAGGAGCGUCUUGACAUGCGGUGGUGAAUUUAAUUCUCGUCAUAUAGUCAGACGUUCCGGUCCAAAAGCUCUUGAUGACCCAAAGUCCUCAACGCGACCCCAGGUCAGGCGGGAUCACCCGCUGAGUUUAA